GGGAAUGUGGUUCAGUGGUAGAGCACUUGUCUACCAUGCUCAAGAGCCUGGGUUCAAUCCCAAGUACUGCCA
rnacentral:tRNA from 1 species